UCAAAGCAAAGCAGAGCCACAGAAUGUAGA
rnacentral:piRNA from 1 species